rnacentral:miRNA from 1 species
AGAGGAAUGAACAGUUAAAUUAUAACAUAUCCAUAAUAUGCGUUAAUUGUGGACACAUACUACUAACGCAUAAUAUGGAUAUGUUAUAAUUUAACUCUUCCUUUCU